GACGAACGCUGGCGGCGUGCCUAAUACAUGCAAGUUGAGCGAUGAAGAUUGGUGCUUGCACCAAUUUGAAGAGCAGCGAACGGGUGAGUAACGCGUGGGGAAUCUGCCUUUGAGCGGGGGACAACAUUUGGAAACGAAUGCUAAUACCGCAUAACAACUUUAAACAUAAGUUUUAAGUUUGAAAGAUGCAAUUGCAUCACUCAAAGAUGAUCCCGCGUUGUAUUAGCUAGUUGGUGAGGUAAAGGCUCACCAAGGCGAUGAUACAUAGCCGACCUGAGAGGGUGAUCGGCCACAUUGGGACUGAGACACGGCCCAAACCCCUACGGGAGGCAGCAGUAGGGAAUCUUCGGCAAUGGACGAAAGUCUGACCGGGCAACGCCGCGUGAGUGAAGAAGGUUUUCGGAUCGUAAAACUCUGUUGGUAGAGAAGAACGUUGGUGAGAGUGGAAAGCUCAUCAAGUGACGGUAACUACCCAGAAAGGGACGGCUAACUACGUG
rnacentral:rRNA from 1 species